UCUGGCCCCUCCGGGGCCCGAGUUGUAAUUUGGAGAAGAUGCUUUGGGUGCGGCCCCGGCCUAAGUUCCUUGGAACAGGACGUCGGAGAGGGUGAGAAUCCCGUAUGUGGUUGGGUGCCCGCGCCCGUGUAAAGCUCUUUCGACGAGUCGAGUUGUUUGGGAAUGCAGCUCAAAAUGGGUGGUAUAUUUCAUCUAAAGCUAAAUAUGGGCCAGAGACCGAUAGCGCACAAGUAGAGUGAUCGAAAGAUGAAAAGCACUUUGGAAAGAGAGUUAAACAGUACGUGAAAUUGUUGAAAGGGAAGCGCUUGCCACCAGACUUGCGCGCGGCCGAUCACCCGGUGUUCUCACCGGUGCACUCGGCCGCGCUCAGGCCAGCAUCGGUUCAGGUGGUGGGAUAAAGGCUGGGGGAAUGUGGCUCCCUUCGGGGAGUGUUAUAGCCCCCGGCGCCAUGCGGCCUACCUGGACCGAGGACCGCGCUCCGGCUAGGAUGCUGGCGUAAUGGUUGCAAGCGACCCGUCUUGAAACACGGACCAAGGAGUCUAACAUCUAUGCGAGUGUUUGGGUGCCAAACCCAUGCGCGGAAUUAACGUGAACGGAGGUGAGAACCCCCCCGGGGUGCAUCAUCGACCGAUCCUGAUGUCUUCGGAUGGAUUUGAGUAAGAGCAUAGCUGUUGGGACCCGAAAGAUGGUGAACUAUGCCUAAAUAGGGUGAAGCCAGAGGAAACUCUGGUGGAGGCUCGCAGCGGUUCUGACGUGCAAAUCGAUCGUCAAAUUUGGGUAUAGGGGCGAAAGACUAAUCGAACCAU
rnacentral:rRNA from 1 species